CCCGGUCGGGAAGUCUCGCUCCCUCCUCCUCCUCCCGGGCGUGGAAGCCCUCGCGCUGCCCGCAUCAGGGGCUCCUCCCAGCGCCAUCUCCGGAGCACUAAAGAUAAGAGGGCGCCUCCUCUCUGGCAGGAUGAGGGCGCGGGAGAAGCGACAGGGGCCCCUGGGAAAGCGAGCCGUGGGGCUUUCGAAGCUCUGCGUCUGGCAGGCAGCGCGCAGGCAGCCAGCCAGGUGAGCGGGCCGGUGCGUGGGGCUGGCGGGCCUGCCGGGAGCAUCCAGGCCCUGCGGGUUGGCGCUCAGGGGGCGGGGCCCGGCGCCAUCUUGGCUGUGGGCGGAAGUUUCCUUCAGAGACUCAGUGAGGGGAAGCGGUUGUCGCCCCCAGCCGGGCAGCGUGAUCCCAGUUUGAGAAUAGGGGAUUUAAGUGUGGGAACGGGCGGUCUUCCAAACAAGCAAGGGCCGCCGUCGGCCCAGGACACGGUCCUCCCCAGCGGACGCUGGGUGCGGCGGGGCCUCGGCCUCUCCGCCGCCUGCCGGCUCCCGUAUUCCGGGCGCCCGUUGGCGGCGCAGCUUGCCCGAUUCUCGAAAGGCUCCACGCCGGGCGCGGUGCGGGGCUGCGGAGCCAGAGCCGGCCUCUGCGCAAUUUGCGUAGCGAACGGUGCCCGCGCAGGCGCAGGAGGGGGCGGAGCAGCGGGAGCCGGGGAGCUGGAGCCCCGGGUCCCGGCGACCGGAGCCCGCUCCCCCAGCCGCGACCUGAGGAUUGGGCAUCGGCCUUUCCCUCCCCCAGCGGCGGGAGGGUGGACGCGGUGGGCGGGGGGCCACAUCUGGAUUCCCAAGGACAGAGGAGGAGGCCCCAAUCCGAAUUAUUGGAGGGGAGAGAGCCCCCAAGCGUGGGGAGGGGGAGAGCCGGGCGUUGGGCGCCCCCGCAGCGACCGCUGCCCUAAGCUGACCGGUAUUGGCUGGCUCUCCCCCUCCUGCCAGGCCGACUCGAGCGACCACGAACGAGGGACUCCUCUCCUUCAGCCUCUGCAUCCCCACAUCCCCCUGGCUCUGAGGCCAGCCCAGGGAGAGACAUCCCCACCCCCCACCUCCUUUGCCCUGGAGAGAAGACUGCCUUUCCACAUCCCAGAGCCAGGGACCCAGGUUGCCGGUGUCUUCCAAGGACAGGGGUCUUUCUCUUGA
rnacentral:lncRNA from 1 species